rnacentral:rRNA from 1 species
GAGCCUACGGGAGGCAGCAGUGGGGAAUAUUGCACAAUGGGGGAAACCCUGAUGCAGCGACGCCGCGUGGGCGAAGAAGUAUUUCGGUAUGUAAAGCCCUAUCAGCAGGGAAGAAGAAAUGACGGUACCUGAGUAAGAAGCACCGGCUAAAUACGUGCCAGCAGCCGCGGUAAUACGUAUGGAGCAAGCGUUAUCCGGAUUUACUGGGUGUAAAGGGAGCGCAGGCGGCACGGCAAGCCUGAUGUGAAAGCCCGCGGCCCAACCGCGGGACUGCCUUGGGAACUACCGGGCUGGAGUGCCGGGUG